UAACAUCCUACAAAAUACAAAUAAUCCGAACCAUAUUCUAAAAUUAAAAUAUACAGUUAUCCAAACACUAAAUUAAAUUAUAAAUUAAGUGAUUUCUUUAAUUCUCUUCAUCUUGUCUUUGUCACCUUGAAAACAAGAAUCCUACACAUAAAAAGUAAAUAAAAUUAGUUAACAAGAUAAAUUAAAAAUUAAACUUAAAUAAUUGAAAAAAAUUACUGAGUUCUGUCUAGAAAAUUAAAAUGCAGCAAUGGACGUCAAAUGCUCAUGAACAAUCAUAUGCCACAAAAUAUAAUCUCAGUUCUUUGACAUCAAAUAUGUAUGUCCCGAGUCUUGACAAAUGUGUAUCGAUUUUUAUGUAUCUUAAUUAAUACACAAAUUUUCGCAAAACUAAAAUGAAACACAAUGUCUAUUUUUGUAUAUGAAUAUGGAAAUUAAAGAUUGGAAUUUUGCAAAUGUAAAGAGUUUCGAAGAGGGAUUAUGGAGCAAUUUGAGAUAUAUAACAAAGCAAUUAAUUACCAAAAAGGGAAAAUUGAAAACACCCUAAUUAUUUUAAAACCAAUUGUAAAAUGCUUCAAAGCACCGGUCGUGCAUGCGGAUGCCACAAAUAAUGGGUCAAAUCAUGUGCAGAAGUAGAACAUGCAUGCUUGAGAAUUUUAGAUAACUGCAUAUUUCAAAUGCAAGAGAUAUAAAAAGCCACAUCAUUCGAUCAACAAAAAUAAACGCAAGCUAUCCUAGACUAAACAUAGCAAAAGAUUGAAAGUCUUCUGUAUCUACUCACUCUCUCUGAUUAAUACAAAUGAGACAACAAAUUGAAUAAGAAAUAUCAAAAUAGAGCAAAAAUAAAAAUGCAAUAAGCUCUACAUCCUAAUCUGGAACUGAUCAUUAAUUUUUAGAAUUUAUAAUCAACACAAAAAAAAAAUAAAUCCAUAGUUCAAAAAUUAAAAAAAAAAAAAAGAAUAGGAGCUUACCGUGAGUUAAUUGAGAGCGAGAUGGUGGAGACCAAAACGAAAUGGUUGCUAGCUAGCUAAGUUGCAGAGAAAACAAAACAAAAUUGCUAUAGUCGGCUGCUGAGGGCAGAUAUGAAGGGAAGAGAGGGCUAAGAGAAGGGAAAGAAAGAGUGGGAUCGGAAAUGAUGAAGAACAAAA
rnacentral:lncRNA from 1 species